GAACUCGGCUCUAAAUCAGGAUCCCCCUUCUGAAUGGAAAAGUUAGAAAAACCUUUCUGUCCCAAUUUCUGUGUAAUUGUGAUUUGUUUAUUCUUCAGAAAAUUAUCCUUUUAUCGACAGAGAAUAUGAGAAUUGCCUGUCAAUUAAAAAUAAUAUCAUUUAGAUGCAAGAAUUGUGAAUUUUUUGGACCAAACCUCACUUAUGUAUUUCAAGACUUCCUGUAUCGACCUGCUUUGAAUGCAACACACAAAAUUGAUUCCUGUGGAUGAUUUUAUAAUAGAAUUUUUGGGGACACCAAGACAUAAUUGAAGCUGAUCUUUUCUUACGUUCUUGAAAAUAUUUUGCCCUUGAACAAUUCAGAGAGUAUUGUUGAUAAAUGAAUCUGGACUCUUUCCCUACUGUAAGAAUUCUGGCAGUUUUAUUUUGAUGAAGACUUGAAUUCAUUCUGAUGACUUGGUGGAAAUCAACAGUUAUAUAAGGAUCGUUUUUGUUUUAUAUCCGAAGAUUUAGUAUACUAUUUAUGGAAAACAGUCAUGAAAAUCCUACAGUCGUCUUCUUUGGAGAAGCUGUGAUGGACUUGGCUUUCUUUAUCAUCGCAUAUGACUAUAUCUACGUUAUAUUGUGAUAGCUAUUUCCACGAUUGAUAUGACAGAACAGUAUUUUCACUACUGCAUUUUCAGAUUUUUGCCAAAUCUUGUACGUUUUAGCACUUUCAUUUGGUUUGAAAACCAUUCUUGCAAUUAUUUUGA